UACAGAGGGGGCAAGCGUUAUUCGGAAUUAUUGGGCGUAAAGGGCGCGUAGGCGGCUUUGCAGUGACGGGUGAAAUCCCUCGGCUUAACCGAGGAACUGCCUGUCAGACUGUGAGGCUUGAGACCGGGAGAGGUGAGUGGAAUUCCCAGUGUAGCGGUGAAAUGUGUAGAUAUUGGGAGGAACACCAGUGGCGAAGGCGGCUCACUGGACCGGAACUGACGCUGAGGCGCGAAAGCGUGGGGAGCAAACAGG
rnacentral:rRNA from 1 species